rnacentral:lncRNA from 1 species
GGGUGAUUCUUUUGGACUAAUUCAUGUGGCUGCAAUUGGAGCUGGAUGAUCUAAAUGGUCUCACUCCUAGGUCUGGCUGUUGAUGUUGGCUGUUGGCUGAGCCAGGGGCCGCCAGCAGGCUAGCAUGGGCUCUUCACUCAGCAGCAGGGUUCCCCAAGAGGACAAGCCCAACACACAUGUGCUUUUCAAGCCUGUGAUUAUCAGGCUUGAAAUACUGCAACAUCUGCUGCAAUCAGUAACAACCACAUAAGAAAGCAAUGACAAGUUAUGAUUACUGCUCUGGAGGGAGUGAGCAGGAUGCUGUGAGAGAGGGUUACUAUUCCAAGUGGCACCUGGGCCAGCAGCAUUGGCAUCACCUGGGACUUGUGAGAAAUCCAGCAUCUCAGGCUCCACUGCAGGUCUCCUAAAUCAGAAUCUACAGUUUAACAAGAUCCCCAGCAGAUGUGUGUGUAAGCUCAAGAACCUGUUGAGAGGAGCACCUAGCAUAAGACCUGGCUUGUGACAGAGAGAGAGAGAGAAGCAGAGAGAGAGUUUUUAUAAGGAAUUGGCUCACAUGAUUAUGGAGGCUGCCAAGUCCCAAGAUCUGCAGUCAGCAAGCUGGAGACCCAGGAGAGCUGAUGGUGGAGUUCUAGUCUGAAUGUCAGCAGGCUAGAGACCAAGGAAGAGCCAAUGUUUUAGUUCAAGUCUGAAAGCAGGAAAAGCACUGGUACCACAAGCUGGAAGGCAGUUGACAGAAGGAGUUCCCUUCUCCUUCGGAGUGAGGGUCAACCUCUUCAUUCCAUUCAGACCCUCAACUGAUUAGAUGAGGCCCACCCAUAUUUGAGGGCAAUCUGCUUUACUCAAAUGAUGAUCUCAUCCACAAACACCCUCAUAGACGCACCCAGAAAGAAUAGUGUUUGACCAAAUGUCUGGGCACCCCAUGCCCAGUCAAGUUGACCUGUAAAAUUAACCAUCACAGCAGCCAAGGCAGAAAUGGAAGUGAGACAGUGGUGGUGGAGGAGCUGCAGCCAGCACCUGAGGCCCUGCCCUGCGGGAGGUCCUACAGAGAUAAUGCAGAGCUUACCAGGCCCUGUCCACCUGCCCACCCUCAGGGGCAGAGAUACAGUCCUCCAGCCAGGAGCAAGGCUGUGCCAAGAGAUUACCUCCAGCUUAAGGCAGAGUGUAGAUGCCAUACCCCAGUGGUUCUCAACUGGGGCAGUUUUAUCUCCCAGGAGACAUCUGGUAAUAUGUGAAUACCUUUUUUGUUGUCACAACGAGGGGAUGGUCAUACUCCUGACCACUCACAUCCAGUGGGUAGAGGCCAGGGGUGCUGCUAACGCACAGGACAGUCCCCAAAACAGAGAUUGAUCAGGCCCCAAAUGUCAUUGGUGCUGAAGUUGAGGAACCCUGCCCUCACCUUCUUUCCUCCACAUCUUCCCUCAAGCUGCUCGUGGCAUGCCCUUCUCCACUAAGCCAACUUGUUAAACCUCUUCACGGCUGAGAUCAUGCUGCUUUCUUCUUCAGAUCUGCCACCCUCUAGCUGGGUGACUUUUAGACAAGUGAUCGACCUCUCUGAGCCAGAGUUUCUACCUUGUAAAAAAAAAAAAAUCCCUUCCUGCAUGGUCAGCUGUCAUGAAAAGGACACAUGGUGAUGGGCAGACAAAGACAAGGCUUAGCUUCGUGUUUGACUCCUAGGAGCGCCCAGUUCAUGGAGGCUGCUGCUGUCACUAAUCUGUUUCCAUCUUCCCCUGGGAAUCCUGAGGUUUAUCUGUGAGCCUUUGGACUGCUGUAUGGACAACAUACUCUGCAGUAGCAUGAAGAAGUGAGUGAAGACCCUCCCUUGAACCGUUUGCCCUGAAAGAACAGAAGUCACAUCUUGAUAUCUCAGUGCCUUUACAGUGCCAGGGAUGGGGUAGGUGCUGAGCGCCUGGUAUGUGCUCACCCUAUGCUGUACAACACACAGAAAGCCCCACAGGGUUUGAACUGUAAUUAGGUAGAGGGUGUGUGGGACUCGCCUUGGGUCUCUGACUUUGGCUUCUGCUCCCGGCCUUGGAUAGGCUGAUAUUUUCUAGUAGAUAUCAGAGACUCCGGUUGAUAGCACCACAAUGGCUUUUCUCCCAACUUUUUGUUUUACGUAUUAUCAAGCCAACAGAGAAGUUGCAAGAAUAGCACAAUGAACAUGCAUAUACCCUUCACCUGGAUUCACCACUUUUGUUUCAUUUCUCUCAGUAUAUAUGUUUGUGUGUGUUGGAGACAUAUGACAUUUUACCUCGAAACCAGGCAUCUCCUAGGAAAAAGAGCAGCCUCCCAUAUAACAACAAUACAAUGAUAACCCUUAAAAAACUUUGCAUUAAUAAAUCCCAUUAGUUAAUA